AAUAGUUUGUCUUAUAUACAGUAGUUUUGAUCAGUACCAGAUUAGUGGGUAUUACAGAUAUUCUGCAAUAUUUAUAAUAGAAUAAGGUUCCCAACGAAUUUUCACAAUGACAAACAUGUUUAUUGGUAUUGAAUAAUACAUGAUUGGAAAGCUUAGAUUUCUCUCUAUUUUUCAACAUAAUCACCGCUUAGAUCAAUGUUUUUUUAUCCGUAGACUUCGGAAGUGUGUAGAAGUGUAAGGCUAACCAACUAAAUUUAUCUACAUUUCAAUUUUUUCCUUAAGUAAGUAACUUGAUGUUAGACAGUAUGCAAUGCAAUACAAAAUGUUUGAAUUUGUUUUAAUA